UACAGAGGUCUCAAGCGUUGUUCGGAUUCAUUGGGCGUAAAGAGCUCGUAGGCGGUGUGUCACGUCGUUCGUGAAAACCUGCAGCUUAACUGUGGGCGUGCGGUCGAUACGGGCAUCACUGGAGUUCGGCAGGGGAGACUGGAAUUCCUGGUGUAGCGGUGAAAUGCGCAGAUAUCAGGAGGAACACCGGUGGCGAAGGCGGGUCUCUGGGCCGAUACUGACGCUGAGGAGCGAAAGCGUGGGGAGCAAACAGG
rnacentral:rRNA from 1 species